rnacentral:rRNA from 1 species
UGGGGAAUUUUGGACAAUGGGGGAAACCCUGAUCCAGCCAUCCCGCGUGUGCGAUGAAGGCCUUCGGGUUGUAAAGCACUUUUGGCAGGAAAGAAACGUCGCGGGUUAAUACCCCGCGAAACUGACGGUACCUGCAGAAUAAGCACCGGCUAACUACGUGCCAGCAGCCGCGGUAAUACGUAGGGUGCAAGCGUUAAUCGGAAUUACUGGGCGUAAAGCGUGCGCAGGCGGUUCGGAAAGAAAGAUGUGAAAUCCCAGAGCUUAACUUUGGAACUGCAUUUUUAACUACCGGGCUAGAGUGUGUCAGAGGGAGGUGGAAUUCCGCGUGUAGCAGUGAAAUGCGUAGAUAUGCGGAGGAACACCGAUGGCGAAGGCAGCCUCCUGGGAUAACACUGACGCUCAUGCACGAAAGCGUGGGGAGCAAACAGGAUUAGAUACCCUGGUAGUCCACGCCCUAAACGAUGUCAACUAGCUGUUGGGGCCUUCGGGCCUUGGUAGCGCAGCUAACGCGUGAAGUUGACCGCCUGGGGAGUACGGUCGCAAGAUUAAAACUCAAAGGAAUUGGACGGGGUCGAU